rnacentral:rRNA from 1 species
GAUGAACGCUGGCGGCGUGCCUAAUACAUGCAAGUCGAGCGGACAAAUGAGGAUCUUUCUUGUCUGACGCGAGGGGCGGACGGGUGAUUAAUACGUGGCUAACCUACCUAUAAGACUGGGAUAACUUCGGGAAACCGGAUCCAAUAUCGGUUAAUAUAUUGAACCUGUUGGAUCAUUGGUCAAAGAGGGUUUUGCUGUCACUUGUAGAUGGUCCCACGCCGCAUUAGCUAGUUGGUAGGGUGACGGCGUACCAAGGCAACGAUGCGUAGCCGACCUGAGAGGAUGAUCGGCCACACUGGAACUGAGACACGGUCCAGACUCCUACGGGAGGCAGCAGUAGGGAAUAUUCCGCAAUGGGCGAAAGCCUGAUGGAGCAACGCCGCGUGAGUGAUGAAGGUCUUCGGAUCGUAAAGCACUUUUAUUUGGGAAGAAGAAAAGUAUAAUAAUCUAUGGAUGUCUUGACGUUACCUAAACAAGAAGCACCGGCUAACUACGUG